GACGAACGCUGGCGGUGUGCUUAACACAUGCAAGUCGAACGGUAAGGCCCUUUCGGGGGUACACGAGUGGCGAACGGGUGAGUAACACGUGAGUAACCUGCCCUCAUCUCUGGGAUAACAGUCGGAAACGGUUGCUAAUACUGGAUAUGAGCUUGCAAGGCAUCUUGUGGGUUGGAAAGAUUUUUUUUGGUUGGGGAUGGACUCGCGGCCUAUCAGCUUGUUGGUGAGGUAGUGGCUCACCAAGGCUUCGACGGGUAGCCGGCCUGAGAGGGCGACCGGCCACAUUGGGACUGAGAUACGGCCCAAACUCCUACGGGAGGCAGCAGUGGGGAAUAUUGCACAAUGGACGAAAGUCUGAUGCAGCAACGCCGCGUGCGGGAUGACGGCCUUCGGGUUGUAAACCGCUUUCAAUUGUGACGAAGCUUUUUUGUGACGGUAGCAGUAGAAGAAGCACCGGCUAACUACGUG
rnacentral:rRNA from 1 species